AACGAACGCUGGCGGCAGGCUUAACACAUGCAAGUCGAACGCCCCGCAAGGGGAGUGGCAGACGGGUGAGUAACGCGUGGGAAUCUACCGAGCCCUGCGGGAUAGCUCCGGGAAACUGGAAUUAAUACCGCAUGCGCCCUACGGGGGAAGGGUUUAUCGGGGUUUGAUGAGCCCGCGUUGGAUUAGCUAGGUGGUGGGGUAAAGGCCUACCAAGGCGACGAUCCAUAGCUGGUCUGAGAGGCUGAUUAGCCACAUUCGGACUGAGACACGGCCGGAACUCUUGCAGGAGGCAGCAGUGGGGACUAUUGGACAGUGGGCGUAAGCGUGAACCAGUAAUGCCGCGUGAGUGAUUAAGGCUUUAGGGUUGUAAAGAUAUAUCACCGGAGAAGAUACUGGCGGUAUCCGGAGAAGAAGCCCCGGCUAUGUUCGUGCCAGCCGCCGCAGUAAAAC
rnacentral:rRNA from 1 species